AUUGAACGCUGGCGGCAGGCCUAACACAUGCAAGUCGAACGAGGGGCGGACGGGUGAGUAAUGUCUGGGAAACUGCCUGAUGAGGGGGAUAACUACUGGAAACGGUAGCUAAUACCGCCUACCAUCAGCUGUGCCCAGAGGGGAUUAGCUAGUUGGGGGGGUAACGGCUCACCAAGGCGACGAUCCCUAGCCGGCCUGAGAGGAUGACCGGCCACACUGGUACUGAGACACGGUCCAGACUCCUACGGGAGGCAGCAGUGGGGAAGAUUGCACAAUGGGCGAAAGCCUGAUGCAGCCAUGCCGCGUGGAUGAAGAAGGCUUUCGGGUUGUAAAGUACUGUCGGCGGGGAGGCGUUACCCGCAGAGGAAGCACCGGCUAACUCCGUGCCAGCAGCCGCGGUAAUAC
rnacentral:rRNA from 1 species